UGUUAACUCUUUUCCUGUAUUCCUACAGGGUGGGCACUGUUGUUAUUCACAUAUGCCAGAUGGGGAAACUGAGGAGCAGAGCUGUUAAGUUGGAAAGUUGUCAGGUCAGGAGUGAAAACAUCAGAGUCCGUAAAAUACAUCCCGUGAUCAAAUUUGGCUUAAUCUCCACAGUCCUAAAUUUCCUGCCUGCAUUGCAAAAGUUGCCCAAGGAAAUGAAAUCCCAGGAUGAAUGUUCGCCAUCGGAAUAAGACCUCGCUUCCACUGUCCCCUGCUUUGACAGUCGUGGAAAAGGCAUGAAUUAAUAGACUCUUUUAAUUUAUCUCAGUUUUGUCUCUGAAGAGGGUCCAGUGAAAACAACCACUCAAUCUGUCACUUGAACAUUGUUUAUAUUUGUUGCCAGGAUACCAAAGGCUCUUUUAAGCCUUUGGCUCAGAAGAGCACCAUGCAUCUGAACUUGUUCACCUGCACAUAAAGCAAAUAAUGGCUGAAAUGAUGGGAAAGAUCCUCCAAACAUUUUAAGUGGCAUACAAGGCAUUUUUCUGUGUCCAGAAAUCGCAGCAUCCGAUAUCUGUUGUUCAAAUAAAUCUCCACCUGCCUACCGAAGUGCGCAUUAUACGCGAGAUCGGGCGUUGAAAAGACAGUUGUUAAUUACUUGGAGGUAAAUCAGGCCACCUUUGACCCAGACUCCGAGCUGUAAUUUUGGUGCUCAGUUUCUUGGUCCCGAAAUUAAUGUAAAUCUUUACAUUUGUGAUUUCACUUGCCAAUGCCGACCCGCCCACACGGUCUGCAAAUGACUCUGUGUUAGACAUUGAAAAAUGUCCUCUGGAAGGAUUCAAUCACCUCUCCCCAGUCUUUUCACUGAUUCUGCUUUAUGUAAAAAUGACGGAGCCUGAGAACAUCUGAAACUCAAAGGGACCCAACAGCAGAAACUAAACCCCUGAGGUUGGAAGUGGCUUGUCACGACCCCCCACCCCCGGGGUCGCUCAGCAACCAGAGCUGAAACCUGAAAGGAAAGCACUAGCUUGGGGCUUUUAUAAAGGGUCACACUUAGAAAUCCCCGCUCAGAGUCCAGGAGCUAUCCCUUCCGCAAGGCUCGUGCCUGUGAGUCCUGGCAUUCCCCACCGUCUGGUACUGGUCUGGAAGCAUCGUGCCAUUUUGAAUCCAGGCGGUCAGAAUAUGAUUCCGAUAAAAACAAACCAGCUGCUCUGACAAUCUGCGUUAAUUCUGGAGGAGACAGAUGCACAAGACCCUGGCCCGUAACGGCCACUUUUGAGGAGGGCCACUGGGGAUGGGAGAGGCAGGGCAGAGAGGAAUUAGAGAGACCGUAACUCGCAAACUUCACAGGAGACGUGAAAUUGAACGCGGUAACGCUGACGCUUGAAAAUCUGUCACCCCGGUACAGCAGUACUUUUGAAACAUUUCUACCAAAGUACCCAUAAUGGCAGAGGAGGGCUGAAUACGUUCUCCCAGGGGUCUGGGUCCAGCGUGAGAAAGGGUGCUCUGUAUCACAAGAACUCUCUUUGCAGCUUAUGUUUUUAAAAUGCAUUGCAAUUGUGCCAUAGACUCGCUAGCAUAUCUGCGUCGCUUUCAAUAUGAAAAUAAUAGCAUAAAUGACUUACCGUCCACGAAAACUGCCCCUGCGGGGAGACACUCCUGGUUUCUUUCUCCAGCGGCCCGGAGCACACGCCGCACGCCGCCUCCAGUGACUGAGUGAAGAGCCCCCAGAAUGGGAAGCGCUGCUGUGAGCGAGCUGACCUGUAUUCUGGCUCUCUCACCUGGAAUCGGGCUCUACGAAUCCUGUUAUGCAUUGAAUAGCAACAAAACAACGGCAUAAAUUAGGGUGUUGCUAAGAUUGUGUACCAUCAAUGUUCGCGUGAGCAUAAUGGACAUAAUGAAUUCUAUAGCACUAUCCUGCACAGCUUGGAGAGAUUAAAACCACUUUGUCUUUAAAUUAAAUUUCAAAAAUCAUUGAGCAACAAGAAUGGAAAGAACAACAACAACACCCCCUUGUGUAUGUCAGCCGCCCAAUUGUAGGAUGUACCGCUUCUUGCUUUCUGAUCAUUAAUGCCCGGUCCCAGGUUUAUUCUAAUAGCUGCCAGAUCAGGGAGUCCACAUCCAUCGUAAUGACCAUCAAGGGGGGUUGGGUUCCCUUGUAUUGUGGUUUGCGGCGUGCGCGGCGAGCCCCUUAUCCGCUUCCAGGAUCAAAACCUGUAACUGAAAAAGACCUCGGCUGAAGUUUAUUUUAUAUAAAUGCUACACAAUAUAAUAUCUCUCGGCUGUUGCAGAAGAAGAAAAGUGGGCUUGAAUUCAGUCUUCUUACAUUGCUUUAUGUUUAUCUAUUAAUGCUAUUGACUAUAUUCCUUAUGCUGUACCUUUCAUCCCUGUGACUUAUUUAUUGUAUACCCGGAAGCUAGUGUCUCUAAAUCCUUCCUGCCUAUUUGGCCCAUCCCCUCCACCAGUUUGUUCUCUGUAUUUGAGACCGUUUCCAUCUGGGUGGGUGUGUUUGUGGGCUCGUUUGUCUUGUUUUGCUUUUUAGAUUCGACAUGUAAAUGAAAUCACACGGUA